UACAGAGGGUGCGAGCGUUAAUCGGAAUUACUGGGCGUAAAGCGCACGUAGGCGGCUUGGUAUGUCGGGUGUGAAAUCCCCGGGCUCAACCUGGGAACUGCAUCCGAAACUGCCUUGCUCGAGUAUGGGAGAGGGAAGUGGAAUUUCCGGUGUAGCGGUGAAAUGCGUAGAUAUCGGGAGGAAUACCAGCGGCGAAGGCGGCCUUCUGGACGGUGACUGACGCUGAGACGCGAAAGCGUGGGGAGCAAACAGG
rnacentral:rRNA from 1 species